UACGAAGGGGGCUAGCGUUGCUCGGAAUCACUGGGCAUAAAGCGCACGUAGGCGGCUUUCUAAGUCAGGGGUGAAAUCCUGGAGCUCAACUCCAGAACUGCCUUUGAUACUGGAGAGCUUGAGUCCGGGAGAGGUGAGUGGAACUCCGAGUGUAGAGGUGAAAUUCGUAGAUAUUCGCAAGAACACCAGUGGCGAAGGCGGCUCACUGGCCCGGUACUGACGCUGAGGUGCGAAAGCGUGGGGAGCAAACAGGG
rnacentral:rRNA from 1 species